GAAUAUGAUGUUUUUGAGGAAAGGGGACCAAGAACUUAUCACCGAAGGCCGCAAUACUAAAGAAUGAGGAGAGAAUUUACUGAUGAAAAUGAGUUUGGUACUGUGGAUCAGAGGCAACCUCCAAGGAGAUAGGGUCAAUUCAAAUUAAAGAUGGACAUUCCAUCAUUUAAUGGAACUGCGCACAUAGAGGAGUUUCUGGA
rnacentral:lncRNA from 1 species